AGUCUGGACAGUCAUGGCGGCGACUGUGGCGACGGCGGCAGCUGUGGCCCCGGCGCCAGCUCCCGGCACGGACGGCGCCUCUUCAGUGCACUGGUUCCGCAAAGGGCUGCGACUCCACGACAACCCGGCGCUGCUGGCGGCCGUGCGCGGGGCGCGCUGCGUGCGCUGCGUUUACAUUCUCGACCCGUGGUUCGCGGCCUCCUCCUCAGUCGGGAUCAACCGAUGGAGGUUCCUACUUCAGUCUCUGGAAGAUUUGGACACAAGUUUAAGGAAACUGAACUCCCGCCUGUUUGUAGUCCGGGGACAGCCAGCUGACGUGUUCCCAAGGCUGUUCAAGGAAUGGGGAGUGACCCGCUUGACCUUUGAAUAUGACUCUGAACCCUUUGGGAAAGAACGGGAUGCAGCCAUCAUGAAGAUGGCCAAGGAGGCUGGUGUGGAAGUAGUAACCGAGAAUUCUCAUACCCUCUAUGACCUGGACAGGCCAUCAUCAGCCGCAUGGAGCUGCCCAAGAAGCCAGUGGGCUCGGUGACCAGCC
rnacentral:sRNA from 1 species